rnacentral:rRNA from 1 species
UACGAAGGGGGCUAGCGUUGCUCGGAAUCACUGGGCGUAAAGGGUGCGUAGGCGGGUCUUUUAAGUCAGGGGUGAAAUCCUGGAGCUCAACUCCAGAACUGCCUUUGAUACUGAGGAUCUUGAGUUCGGGAGAGGUGAGUGGAACUGCGAGUGUAGAGGUGAAAUUCGUAGAUAUUCGCAAGAACACCAGUGGCGAAGGCGGCUCACUGGCCCGAUACUGACGCUGAGGCACGAAAGCGUGGGGAGC